rnacentral:rRNA from 2 species
UGCUAUACUGCAAGUCGAGCGGACAGAAGGGAGCUUGCUCCCGGAUGUUAGCGGCGGACGGGUGAGUAACACGUGGGUAACCUGCCUGUAAGACUGGGAUAACUCCGGGAAACCGGAGCUAAUACCGGAUAGUUCCUUGAACCGCAUGGUUCAAGGAUGAAAGACGGUUUCGGCUGUCACUUACAGAUGGACCCGCGGCGCAUUAGCUAGUUGGUGGGGUAAUGGCUCACCAAGGCGACGAUGCGUAGCCGACCUGAGAGGGUGAUCGGCCACACUGGGACUGAGACACGGCCCAGACUCCUACGGGAGGCAGCAGUAGGGAAUCUUCCGCAAUGGACGAAAGUCUGACGGAGCAACGCCGCGUGAGUGAUGAAGGUUUUCGGAUCGUAAAGCUCUGUUGUUAGGGAAGAACAAGUGCGAGAGUAACUGCUCGCACCUUGACGGUACCUAACCAGAAAGCCACGGCUAACUACGUGCCAGCAGCCGCGGUAAUACGUAGGUGGCAAGCGUUGUCCGGAAUUAUUGGGCGUAAAGGGCUCGCAGGCGGUUUCUUAAGUCUGAUGUGAAAGCCCCCGGCUCAACCGGGGAGGGUCAUUGGAAACUGGGAAACUUGAGUGCAGAAGAGGAGAGUGGAAUUCCACGUGUAGCGGUGAAAUGCGUAGAGAUGUGGAGGAACACCAGUGGCGAAGGCGACUCUCUGGUCUGUAACUGACGCUGAGGAGCGAAAGCGUGGGGAGCGAACAGGAUUAGAUACCCUGGUAGUCCACGCCGUAAACGAUGAGUGCUAAGUGUUAGGGGGUUUCCGCCCCUUAGUGCUGCAGCUAACGCAUUAAGCACUCCGCCUGGGGAGUACGGUCGCAAGACUGAAACUCAAAGGAAUUGACGGGGGC